rnacentral:misc_RNA from 1 species
ACCGAGUGAGGGCCCUCUGGGUCCAACCUCCCACCCAUGUUUAUUGUACCUUGUUGCUUCGGCGGGCCCGCCUCCCGGCCGCCGGGGGGCUUCUGCCCUCUGGCCCGCGCCCGCCGAAGACACCAUUGAACACUGUCUGAAGAUUGCAGUCUGAGCAAUUAGCUAAAUAAGUUAAAACUUUCAACAACGGAUCUCUUGGUUCCGGCAUCGAUGAAGAACGCAGCGAAAUGCGAUACGUAAUGUGAAUUGCAGAAUUCAGUGAAUCAUCGAGUCUUUGAACGCACAUUGCGCCCCUUGGUAUUCCGGGGGGCAUGCCUGUCCGAGCGUCAUUGCUGCCCUCAAGCACGGCUUGUGUGUUGGGCCCCGUCCUCCUUCCCGGGGGACGGGCCCGAAAGGCAGCGGCGGCACCGCGUCCGGUCCUCGAGCGUAUGGGGCUUUGUCACCCGCUCUUGUAGGCCCGGCCGGCGCUUGCCGACAACCAUCAAUCUUUUUUCAGGUUGACCUCGGAUCAGGUAGGGAUACCCGCUGAACUUAAGCAUAUCAAUAA